rnacentral:rRNA from 1 species
UACGUAGGGAGCAAGCGUUGUCCGGAAUCAUUGGGCGUAAAGCGCGCGUAGGUGGCCUCAUAAGUCCGCUGUGAAAGUCAAAGGCUCAACCUUUGAAAGCCGGUGGAAUACUGUGAGGCUAGAGUACGGAAGAGGCGAGUGGAAUUCCCGGUGUAGUGGUGAAAUGCGUAGAUAUCUGGAGGAACACCGGUGGCGAAGGCGGCAUCCUGGACCGACACUGACGCUGAGGCGCGAAAGCUAGGGUAGCAAACGGG